GUGGGGAAUAUUCCGCAAUGGACGAAAGUCUGACGGAGCAACGCCGCGUGAGUGAUGAAGGUUUUCGGACUGUAAAGCUCUGUUGUUUAGGACGAAAGUGCCUGUUGCGAAUAGUUACAGGUAUUGACGGUACUGAACGAGGAAGCCACGGCUAACUACGUGCCAGCAGCCGCGGUAAUACGUAGGUGGCAAGCGUUGUCCGGAAUUAUUGGGCGUAAAGAGCAUGUAGGCGGGAAUCUAAGUCUGUUGUGAAAAUGCGGGGCUCAACCCCGUAUUGCGAUGGAAACUGGGUUUCUUGAGUGCAGGAGAGGAAAGGGGAAUUCCCAGUGUAGCGGUGAAAUGCGUAGAUAUCGGGAGGAACACCAGUGGCGAAGGCGGGUUCCUGGCCCAUGACUGACGCUGAGGUGCGAAAGCCGGGGGAGCGAACGGGAUUAGAUACCCUGGUAGUCC
rnacentral:rRNA from 1 species